GAAAAUGUAAAAUCACAUCCAAUAAACAAGUAAAUCAGGAUAUUUCACAUCAAUAACAGAAAUAUAACAUCACAAUGGUAGGAUACGGGUGGCUCCAAAGCUAGUUCAAUUCCCCGAGUUUGAACGCCUGUUGACACUCCGUCAACCAAAGUACUCAUAGACCGUAGACUCCACUUAACUUUCUCCGUUCACCUUAUCAACCCCCGCUGGCCAGUCAACAGCACGCAGCAGCUCGAGCGAAACAAAAUAACUUAGCUUUCAUCAAAACUUUAACAAAGAACUAAAUCUCAAGGUUAGCAUGGAACUAUC
rnacentral:lncRNA from 1 species